CAGAGCGUAGCUAAGACAGAAAAGCAUCUCCCUUACACUGAGAAGUCCCCCGUGCAAAUCGGAGCGCCCUGAUGCCCAACAGCUAGCCCCCAAAGCCAGAACCAACAAAUCAACAUUAAUACCCCUUAAUACACUAUUACUGUGUUAAACAAACCAUUUUUCCCCCCAAGUAUGUGCGACAGAAAAGGGCCUGUGGAGCGAUAGAGAAAGUACCGCAAGGGAACGCUGAAAGAGAAGUGAAACAACCCAGUGAAGCCUAAAAAAGCAGAGAUCUAACCUCGUACCUUUUGCAUCAUGAUUUAGCCAGUGUAACCCAAGCAAAGCGUGCUUUAGUUUGAUAACCCGAAACUAAGUGAGCUACUCCAAGACAGCCUAUUAAUAGGGCAAACCCGUCUCUGUGGCAAAAGAGUGGGAAGAGCUUUGAGUAGAGGUGACAGACCUACCGAACUUAGUUAUAGCUGGUUGCCUGAGAAUUGGAUAGAAGUUCAGCCUCCCGAAUUCUUCGCUCCUCUCAGUUUUACCCUAUCUGAUACCUUAAGAAGUCGAGAGAGUUAGUCAAAGGGGGUACAGCCCCUUUGAACCAAGAUACAACUUUUCCAGGAGGGUAAAGAUCAUAAUUAUAGAAGGUAAAAUAUUUUGGUGGGCCUAAAAGCAGCCAUCCCCUCAGAAAGCGUUAAAGCUCAGAUAUACUUCUACCCCCUUUAUAAGGAUCAUCAAAUCUCACCCCCCUAAUUUUACCAGGCCGUCCCAUGCAAACAUGGGAGCGACCCUGCUAAUAUGAGUAAUAAGAGAGCCCAAGACUCUCUCCUUGCACGCGUGUAAAUCGGAACGGACACCCCGCCGAACCUUAACGGCCCCAACCCCAGAGGGCACUGAAUAACAGACCAAAGAACCAGAAAAACAUUCAAUAGACCAACCGUUAACCCUACACAGGCGUGCCCCUAAGGAAAGACUAAAAGAAAGAGAAGGAACUCGGCAAACACAUCAAGCCUCGCCUGUUUACCAAAAACAUCGCCUCUUGUAGAACUUAGAAAUAAGAGGUCCCGCCUGCCCUGUGACUAUAAGUUUAACGGCCGCGGUAUUUUGACCGUGCGAAGGUAGCGCAAUCACUUGUCUUUUAAAUGGAGACCUGUAUGAAAUGGCAUAACGAGGGCUUAAC
rnacentral:rRNA from 1 species